GGCUGGUCCCAGUGCAGUGGUGUUUACAACUAAUUGAUCACAACUAGUUACAGAUUUCUUUGUUCCUUCUCCACUCCCACUGCUUUACUUGACUAGACUUAA
ensembl:Y_RNA Y_RNA Y RNA